UAGGGUAUUCUCAUACCAAGAAAGGGUACAAAUGUUAUGAUAACAUUAGCCAGAAACUUUAUGUCAGCAGGGAUGUUAGGUCGAAACCACUCCUUAUUUCACUGAUCCUA
rnacentral:sRNA from 1 species